CAGCCAGAAAUCGGCAGGUUGCUAAGUGGGUCCGUGAGGAGUUGUGUCCAGAAGGAACAAGGCAUUUCUACGACAUCUGGCAUAUUGGGAAAAGUCUACAAAAAGCACUGGAUACUGUGGCCAAGGAGAAGGAUUGCGAGGACCUGAAGCUAUGGAGACCCGCCAUCAACCAUUUAUACUGGACUGCGGCUUCCACCCCAAAUGGUGAUCCUGAUCAGAUGGAGGCCAAGAAGCAGAGCAUGUUGAACCAUGUUCAGGAUGUACAUGAACACAACUAUCCUUCAUUUCAACAAUGUGCGCACCCACCUCUGGAAGGAGAGGGAAGGAACAAGCAGUGGUUUGAACCAGGAUCAACAGCCGCGGUAAAGUUGGAAAGUGUUGCUUCCAGAAAGACCCUGCUGAAGGAUAUUUGACAGCUCUCACCACAACACCAAACAUUUUCCUUGGAGGCAUUCCAUUCACUAAUCCUUCACUUUGCGCCAAAGCACUCCGGCUUUUCUUUUCUUGGAAUGCACAGCAGACUUCUCUUAGCGGCAAUGGAGACAGAGACCUGGCUCAAACGAACAAUGAAUAUGCAUCAGCCCUGAUGGUCUCCCAGAGAGAGGGAUAUAUAAGGUCACCACAGGCCCUCAAAGAAGACAGCGCCAUCCUAUCCUCAGCUGCAACUGCCCCUCUUUCCA